rnacentral:misc_RNA from 1 species
AAGUCGUAACAAGGUUUCCGUAGGUGAACCUGCGGAAGGAUCAUUAAUGGGAUUGGACCUUUUCGGUCUUAACCUUCAACCCAAUGUCUUUAUUACUUGAUUCUUUGAUGGGGGAACUCAUCAGAAGAUUUCUUGAACUCUUUGAAAUCUGUACUCUGAAAUAAAAAAAGAAAUAAAUUAAAACUUUCAACAACGGAUCUCUUGGUUCUG